AAAUUACACCGGAAUGAGCAUCUGUUAUUUUUGAGUCAACAGCUCAGGCACUUUUGGACGAGCCCUCCCUAGCUUUCUCCCAGGGUUGUCCAGGGUCAGGGUCCCUUGCAGGGGCUAUUAACUAAACUUGAGAAGUAGCACAUGCCUCCCCCAAGGCAGACUGGGCAAUGGAUACGGAGGGGAGCGCUGCCUACUACGUUAAGGUGUGUCCUUAAUUCAGACAUUCAUCUGACAAAUAUGAAUUCCCGAGAGCACCUACGGGAAAGGUGCUGAGGCAGAUGCGGUAGACAAGUAGGAGACUCGUUAUUUCUAACUUCCAGCCACAUUCCCUCUAGUGGAGAAAUAAAUAGAUAAAGACUCCGGUAUUGUCUAGAGCCUAGACCAGGCUUUCUCAACCUCAGCACUAUUGGUAUUUACACCAGGAAAUUCUUUGUUGUGGGGGGUUUGGGGAGCAUUGUGGGAUAUUUAGCUGCAUCCCUGGGUUCUACCCAUUAGAUGCCAGUAGCAACCCCUGAGUUGCAACAACCAAAAUUGUCCCCAGACAUUGCUAAAUGUCAGGGAUGGGGCAAAAUCGCCUCAGUUGAGAUCCACGGACCUUAAGGCUAUGAGCGCUUUGGGACCACAAGCAUGAGCCACUGCACCUGGCCUUCUCAUCUGAUUUCUUUCCACCAAGUAUGGCCUUCCCUGAUGCCCCAGGCCCCCACUCUGAGCAUGUGCUGUGAUUCAGUCUGGCCCCCAGAGGUCACUGGGGAGGAUGGACGUCACUCCAAACAGAACAGCCCCAGCCUGCCCAGCCCGUUGGAUUUGGAAUGGACGAGAGAGGCCAGGCUUCCAGGCUCCCACAUCAGACCAGAAGGCCGCAAACCCCGGGACAUGAGGAUGCCUCAUACUGCCCCAUCAAUGCUCCCCUUCACCCUCCAGAUAGCAGAACAGAGAGUAAUUGCAUUGAAGUGGCAGUAGAAAGAACUGAGGCUAGACACCAGGAAGAACUUCCCAGCUUGGCAUUGGGAGAGGAGCAGAUGUGGAACUGUCUAGGGAACCCAGAGAGCCCAGUGACAUCCCAAGCCACACGGCACUGGCCCAUCUCCUCCUUCCCACUCUGUUCUGCUCCAUGGUUUGUGCUGGGGACCAGGUGAACCACCUAGACAAUGAGUCACUGGCCACUUCCCCAUGGAGUCAAAGGGCUUGUUCCCACUGGAAAAUCCCCCAGCACGGAAGUGACUAAGACCUGGUGGACUAAAAAGCAAGUUCAAAUCAAGGCUCAUCCUUCCGACGCUGUGUGACCCGAGGAAGGGCAGUUCUCCGUGCAGGCUGGGGAAGCUGGUCUUCAACACAUCCUCCCCAACCCCACCCUUUGGCCACCCCACCCUGAUGCUGAAACCCAGACAAGCAGCCAGGAACUGGAAUCACCAUCCCCAGUCCUACAGACAGACGAUUGUCCCACCGCCACCAGCCGUGUGCAACCAUUCCAGGGCCUGACAUUCUGUCAGCUUCACACAACCUCCCAGAGCCCCAGCCAGCAGCGCUUCCUGGAUAAAAUAUUAAACAUGCAAAUCUGA